CAACAAGAAAGCGUUUCGAACCUAGACACCAGGAAGAGGAAUGCUGUCUCUAGGCAAUCAGUGCCAGGCCCAGACCUGGGGCAUGAACAGAAGAGAGCCAGUUGAAGAGUCUGGGAGAGACCUGUUGACCCUGUGCAUACACAAUGACUGCUCCAGGGCUUGCUUCAGCUACAAAUGAGCAGAUGUGGAGAAAAGCCACGAGUCCUUUGAAAACCAAGGAGGAGCCACAGGCCACUUUGGGGAAAAGAACCUGGCACAACCCCAACACCUGAAUUUAGAAGCACAUGGCAGAAGAGAACAAAGGCUGCUCGAAGGCUUGGAUGAGUGGACGGGCUGUAUCGCAUUGUGAGAACUACAAGAAGCAGAGAGCAAUGCAGCUUAUAGCAGGAGGGGUGAAAGAAAGAAAAAGAAAAGGAAGGAAAGAAGGAAGCAAGAAAAACAUUUAGAGAAUGCCUAGCCUGUCUCUAGAAAUCCUAAGGAGGCUGAAUUAAUCCCUUCCAAAGUCGCACAGGUAAUUUGGCAUAGCUGAAUUGUGAUUCAGUUGAUUUGUAAUUUCUAACAGAGUAAUUUUCCACUAUCAUUUCUUUUAUCGUUAUUAAUUAUUUUUGUGGGUUGCGUACAAUUUGCUUGAUGCAAUACUAAGUGUUGGGAAUACAAAGAUGAGUAAAUUAUCAUAUUUUAUUAUCAAAUCUCUUGCCUGAUUAACUGAGAGUUUUCCAUGCUUCAAGGUGACAAGCAACUCAUCAGUGCAAAUGUCUAAUAUGUGUGUUAAUAUGCUAGUCAUUCCUUCUCAGUGAUAUAACAUAUUAAUGGUUACAAUAGAAUGUCAGCAAAGAUGGCCCC
rnacentral:lncRNA from 1 species